rnacentral:rRNA from 1 species
UACGAAGGGGGCUAGCGUUGCUCGGAAUCACUGGGCGUAAAGCGUGCGUAGGUGGUUUGUUAAGUCUGUUGUGAAAGCCCCGGGCUCAACCUGGGAAUGGCAAUGGAUACUGGCAGGCUAGAGUGCGGUAGAGGGUAGUGGAAUUCCCGGUGUAGCGGUGAAAUGCGUAGAGAUCGGGAGGAACACCAGUGGCGAAGGCGGCUACCUGGACCAGCACUGACACUGGAGGCACGAAAGCGUGGGGAGCAAACAGG